rnacentral:lncRNA from 1 species
AGUGGUACAGGUACCCAUUUGAAAUGUAUGAGAUGUGAGCUCAAUAUAUGCAAUGUGAAUUGUAUUGGAUAGUGAUGAGUAAGUUGUACUUAUGCCUACUUCUGUACUAUGAGUAUGAUGAUGAAUGGUAAAGUUGUUAUAUUUAUUUGCAUGCAACUUACUAAGCUUUAUGCUUACUCCCUCUCCUUUCAAUUUUCUUAUAGUGCUGCCUAAUUAGCUCGACGAUCAUUGGACGUUGUAGGCAUCGA